GGCCCAGUGGCGGAUGGUUUCCGUGCCUGCUUCCAAUACGUUACACGUCCCGUGUUCUGCAGGAGCGCUCGUUCGACUCGAGCCUGGGCCA